rnacentral:miRNA from 1 species
UAUCUGAAGAAGCUGGAGCAUC